rnacentral:rRNA from 1 species
UACGUAGGGUGCAAGCGUUGUCCGGAAUUAUUGGGCGUAAAGAGCUCGUAGGCGGUCUGUCGCGUCUGCUGUGAAAACUCAGGGCUUAACCCUGAGCUUGCAGUGGGUACGGGCAGACUAGAGUGCGGUAGGGGAGACUGGAAUUCCUGGUGUAGCGGUGAAAUGCGCAGAUAUCAGGAGGAACACCGGUGGCGAAGGCGGGUCUCUGGGCCGUAACUGACGCUGAGGAGCGAAAGCUAGGGGAGCAAACAGG